AAUUCUCAACCCAAAAAGCUUUUACUAGCUCUUUUGUGGCUUGGAUGUGGGGGUUUUUGCUGGCUUCCUUCAGUGGAUGGUCUGCUCCCCUUAAAUGCAUUAGUGGGAUCUCUUGUGGACCGUCACUUGGUGUGAUAAUUAUCUAUACCACGUUGACUUUGAAGCAAAACUUAUGGGAACCCGCUCAUAACCGUCUUCGGACAACUCUUGACA
rnacentral:misc_RNA from 1 species